ACUCAACGCGAAUUUUUUUAUAAAGGGUGAGUCAGAUUUGCUAAAGCGUGCCUUGUACAAGGAUACUUGAUCUAUCUGUUAGCCUUAAUCUUGUUUUAUAAGAGUUU
rnacentral:sRNA from 1 species